UACGUAGGUGACCAGCGUUGUCCGGAUUUACUGGGCGUAAAGAGCGCGCAGGCGGUCGUUCAAGUCGAGUGUGAAAGCCCCCGGCUCAACUGGGGAGGGUCACUCGAUACUGAUCGACUUGAAGGCAGGAGAGGGAAGCGGAAUUCCCGGUGUAGCGGUGAAAUGCGUAGAGAUCGGGAGGAAGGCCGGUGGCGAAGGCGGCGCUCUGGAACAUUUCUGACGCUGAGGCUCGAAAGCGUGGGGAGCAAACAGG
rnacentral:rRNA from 1 species